rnacentral:lncRNA from 1 species
UAGCAAAACAGCUUUUGAGAAAGGGUGUCUUGCUUUUCACAACUAUUCACAUGGGAAAUCUCAGUCCUUUUCUUUUUCGGGACAUUUUUACACCUAUCUGUGAUGAUAUCUUAUGACCAUAAGGAGUGCUAAGCUGAGUCACAAAACCACCAUGCCGAGGACAGCACAACAAAGAAAAGAAUCUUGGGAACUUAAUGGUUUUAACCAGUCACUGGGUUAACAAUUCCUGGAACAAUCCCACCUCGAGACUUCAGUUACCUGUUCUGCUGACGUCAGGCCCAGCACCAGGUGCAGAAGCUACCAUCAUACAACAAUCAAGCUUCCUUGAUUAUGCUCUGUGCCAGGCAUAUACUGUGCAGGCACUGUCAAAACUGGAUGUCACUGCGGCUAAACUCAUUUCCUGUGUAAGUCAGUCCUGAAUUUCCAUCCCUUUUCACUUGAUGUUUACCUUUCCUGGGAUUGUCUUAAAGUAACCUCCCAUUCAUCUUUCAGAGAAAAUAAAAUAAUCCCAUUUAUCAAUUAUUAAAUAGCAACCAAUACUGCUGGCCAUUGUUUCCCUUCCUG